AUGCCAUAUGUCCCAUCUCCGGCAGAGGAGGCCGGUCUGAAUUGGUCCUUGCAAUGGGAUGAACAGGGGAGGUACUGAGAGAGCCAGCCAUUGGAUGAGUAGGUGAGAUACUUGCAGCACCAACAACAGAGUGUAAGUCAUUCAUAACUUCACAUUCUUGCACUUCCCAUAUAUGAAUUAAUGUAUCUUCUCCUGCAGUUGCUAGGUAGCGUGCGUCCGAGCUGAACCUUAUGGUCCAUAUUGAGCCCUCAUGAGCAUGGAUUUCCUGACACAAGUGCAUAGCUGUGAGUUCCUUGUAGGACUUUCCAUGCUGGCGGACUUUAAUCCAUUUGGAGGAGUCCUUGUUUGGUUUCUGCUGUUCCUCAAGUGCAGUUUGCUCACGUUCUUUAUCAAUAAUUUUUCCGCUCAUGCUAUGUGCUACUCCUUUUAUGUUCUUCAAAAGAGCAACUCCUCUUCUCUUGCUAUUUCUGAAGCUCUUACUCAAAUAUGAAUUUGCGUUUAAUUUCCUCUCAUCAUCAUGAUUUCUUGAACCAUUUACCCGGCGCAUCAGUUCCUUUACAACAGGAGAAUAUCCCACAUAUUUCUCAAAUUCAUCCAUGGUAAGCUGCUUUCCUGUCUGAAGAUCACUGAGCUUAUUCCACAUUCCAUGUUCGUUGGACUCUUUGACAAUGAACUCCUUUCCAGUGUCCAAAUUCUUUAUCAAGAAGAAUGAAGCAAAGCCCACGUCAGGAUUCCUAUUCGAGAAUGUGGAUGUCGUAUCACUGCCAUUUUGCAUUGACAUUCCACUUGUGUUUUUUUUGCGUGACAUUCUAACAGAACCAGCUAAUUGGCAUAUUCCUAAGCUCGGUGCCAAAACACCUGAAAAUGUCCUAGUGAGACGCUGUUUAGAGAUGUCACCAAUUAGCUCCUCUUUCCUUUUCUUGGUAUUUACGGAAAAAUAUUGUAUGUCUCCGUCUGAUCUCGACCUGACCAGCACAAUUGGCUGUGAAGCUGAUGGCUGUUGUUCUUGAUUUAAUUCUUUUGCAGGAGAAUAUUCAGCCUUUGGUGGUUUGGAAUCUUGGCUGGUCUCAACUUUUCUUGAAAUGGCUCGUACAAUCUUGGCGCUUUUGAGCUUGAGUAGGUCCUUAUUGCUUGAUAACCCCAUGC
rnacentral:lncRNA from 1 species